rnacentral:rRNA from 1 species
UAGGGGAUCUUGCACAAUGGGCGAAAGCCUGAUGCAGCGAUGCCGCGUGAGGGAUGAAGGCCUUCGGGUCGUAAACCUCUUUCAGUAGGGAAGAAGCCACGGGUCACCGUGGUGACGGUACCUGCAGAAGAAGCCCCGGCUAACUACGUGCCAGCAGCCGCGGUAAAACGUAGGGGGCGAGCGUUGCCCGGAUUCACUGGGCGUAAAGCGGGUGUAGGCGGUUCCUUAAGUCGGUUGUGAAAUCCCACGGCUCAACCGUGGAAUUGCGUCCGAUACUGGGGAACUUGAGGACGGUAGAGGUCGGUGGAAUUCCCGGUGUACCGGUGAAAUGGGCAGAUAUCGGGAGGAACACCAGUGGCGAAGGCGGCCGACUGGGCCGAUCCUGACGCUGAGACCCGAAAGCCAGGGUAGCGAACCGG